rnacentral:rRNA from 1 species
UUUGAUCCUGGCUCAGAGCGAACGCUGGCGGCGUGCUUAACACAUGCAAGUCGAGUGCGCGGUGCCGUAGCAAUACGGUACUGGCGCACGGCGCACGGGUGCGUAACACGUGGGUAAUCUGCCCUCUGAUGGGGAAUAACCCGCCGAAAGGCGGGCUAAUACCGCAUAACAUUCCGGGAACUCCGGUUCUUGGAUUCAAAGGCGUAAGUCGUCGGAGGAGGAGCCCGCGCACGAUUAGCUAGUUGGUGGGGUAAUGGCCUACCAAGGCUAUGAUCGUUAGCUGGUCUGAGAGGAUGGCCAGCCACACUGGAACUGAGACACGGUCCAGACUCCUACGGGAGGCAGCAGUGGGGAAUCUUGCACAAUGGGCGAAAGCCUGAUGCAGCGACGCCGCGUGGGGGAUGAAGCUUCUCGGAGUGUAAACCCCUUUCGACCGGGACGAAUACCUCGCAAGAGGGGUGACGGUACC